GGUUGCAAGUUUGCAGCCAUAGCAGAAGUGCUCAUGGCAUGGCCCUGCCAGAUUCCAAUGAAUCUGGAAAAUGUGCU
rnacentral:ribozyme from 1 species